AUUGAACGCUGGCUGCAUGCCUUACACAUGCAAGUCGAACGGUAGCGGGCCUUCGGGUGCCGACGAGUGGCGAACGGGUGAGUAAUGUAUCGGAACGUACCUUUCAGUGGGGGAUAACGUAGCGAAAGUUACGCUAAUACCGCAUAUUCUGUGAGCGGGAAAGCAGGGGAUCGCAAGACCUUGCGCUGAUUGAGCGGCCGAUAUCAGAUUAGCUAGUUGGUGAGGUAAAGGCUCACCAAGGCGACGAUCUGUAGCGGGUCUGAGAGGAUGAUCCGCCACACUGGAACUGAGACACGGUCCAGACUCAUACGGGAGGCAGCAGUGGGGAAUUUUGGACAAUGGGGGCAACCCUGAUCCAGCCAUGCUGCGUGAGUGAAGAAGGCCUUCGGGUUGUAAAGCUCUUUCGGCCGGGAAGAAAUCGCACGGGCUAAUACCCUGUGUGGAUGACGGUACCGGAAUAAGAAGCACCGGCUAACUACGUGCCAGCCGCCGCGGUAAGAC
rnacentral:rRNA from 1 species